rnacentral:rRNA from 1 species
ACAAGCUGCGAAGGCAUCUUCAGCAGCUGGAAAGAAUUUCGGUCAGGGAUGAGCUCGCGGCCUAUCAGCUAGUUGGUGAGGUAAUGGCUCACCAAGGCGUCGACGGGUAGCCGGCCUGAGAGGGUGACCGGCCACACUGGGACUGAGACACGGCCCAGACUCCUACGGGAGGCAGCAGUGGGGAAUAUUGCACAAUGGGCGCAAGCCUGAUGCAGCAACGCCGCGUGAGGGACGACGGCCUUCGGGUUGUAAACCUCUUUUAGCAGGGAAGAAGCGAAAGUGACGGUACCUGCAGAAAAAGCGCCGGCUAACUACGUGCCAGCAGCCGCGGUAAUACGUAGGGCGCAAGCGUUAUCCGGAAUUAUUGGGCGUAAAGAGCUCGUAGGCGGUUUGUCGCGUCUGCUGUGAAAACCCGAGGCUCAACCUCGGGCCUGCAGUGGGUACGGGCAGACUAGAGUGCGGUAGGGGAGAUUGGAAUUCCUGGUGUAGCGGUGGAAUGCGCAGAUAUCAGGAGGAACACCGAUGGCGAAGGCAGAUCUCUGGGCCGUAACUGACGCUGAGGAGCGAAAGGGUGGGGAGCAAACAGGCUUAGAUACCCUGGUAGUCCACCCCGUAAACGUUGGGAACUAGUUGUGGGGUCCAUUCCACGGAUUCCGUGACGCAGCUAACGCAUUAAGUUCCCCGCCUGGGGAGUACGGCCGCAAGGCUAAAACUCAAAGGAAUUGACGGGGACCCGCACAAGCGGCGGAGCAUGCGGAUUAAUUCGAUGCAACGCGAAGAACCUUACCAAGGCUUGACAUAUACGAGAACGCUGCAGAAAUGUAGAACUCUUUGGACACUCGUAAACAGGUGGUGCAUGGUUGUCGUCAGCUCGUGUCGUGAGAUGUUGGGUUAAGUCCCGCAACGAGCGCAACCCUCGUUCUAUGUUGCCAGCACGUAAUGGUGGGAACUCAUGGGAUACUGCCGGGGUCAACUCGGAGGAAGGUGGGGAUGACGUCAAAUCAUCAUGCCCCUUAUGUCUUGGGCUUCACGCAUGCUACAAUGGCCGGUACAAAGGGCUGCAAUACCGUAAGGUGGAGCGAAUCCCAAAAAGCCGGUCCCAG